rnacentral:rRNA from 1 species
CGAAAGCCUGACGGAGCAACGCCGCGUGUGGGAAGAAGGCCUUUGGGCUGUCAACCACUUUUCUCAGGGAAGAAGUUCUGACGGUACCUGAGGAAUCAGCCUCGGCUAACUCCGUGCCAGCAGCCGCGGUAAUACGGAGGAGGCAAGCGUUAUUCGGAAUUAUUGGGCGUAAAGCGUCCGCAGGGGGCGCAUCAAGUCUGCUGUCAAAGGUCGGAGCUUAACUCCGGUUAGGCAGUGGAAACUGGUGCGCUAGAGGGCGGCAGGGGUAGAGGGAAGUCCCGGUGUAGCGGUGAAAUGCGUAGAGAUUGGGAAGAACAUCGGUGGCGAAAGCGCUCUACUGGGCCGCAACUGACACUCAGGGACGAAAGCUAGGGGAGCG